rnacentral:ncRNA from 2 species
UGCAAAGCAAUGAAAGGAAAUAAGUAGUGGAUGAUCUCCCUGUUCAAGAGAGCUGAUGGUGGUGCAAAUCAGUACAAAGAUCAACAUGAAUUACAAUCCUGGAGCUUCUUUUUCGUAGCAAGGAGAUAUUCUUGUGAAGGGAAAGACGGUCAUAUGAUCGUUAACAAAAUGGAGAGGUGAACAAGACUGUUCACAACUAGGGUGGUACCGCGAAAUCAAUUCGUCCCUACU